rnacentral:rRNA from 1 species
AGAUGGCGACCGGCGCACGGGUGAGUAACACGUAUCCAACCUGCCGAUAACUCGGGGAUAGCCUUUCGAAAGAAAGAUUAAUACCCGAUGGCAUAAUAGAACCGCAUGGUUUGAUUAUUAAAGAAUUUCGGUUAUCGAUGGGGAUGCGUUCCAUUAGGCAGUUGGUGGGGUAACGGCCCACCAAACCUUCGAUGGAUAGGGGUUCUGAGAGGAAGGUCCCCCACAUUGGAACUGAGACACGGUCCAG